rnacentral:rRNA from 1 species
AAGGGUGCGUAGGCGGCCUGUUAAGUCAGGGGUGAAAGACGGUAGCUCAACUAUCGCAGUGCCCUUGAUACUGAUGGGCUUGAAUGUACUAGAGGUAGGCGGAAUGUGACAAGUAGCGGUGAAAUGCAUAGAUAUGUCACAGAACACCAAUUGCGAAGGCAGCUUACUAUGGUAUGAUUGACGCUGAGGCACGAAAGCGUGGGGAUCAAACAGGAUUAGAUACCCCUUGU